UACGAAGGGGGCUAGCGUUGUUCGGAUUUACUGGGCGUAAAGCGCACGUAGGCGGAUUGUUAAGUCAGGGGUGAAAUCCCGGAGCUCAACUCCGGAACUGCCUUUGAUACUGGCAAUCUUGAGACUGGAAGAGGUUAGUGGAAUUCCCAGUGUAGAGGUGAAAUUCGUAGAUAUUAGGAAGAACACCGGUGGCGAAGGCGGCCCACUGGUCCGGUACUGACGCUGAGGUGCGAAAGCGUGGGGAGCAAACAGG
rnacentral:rRNA from 1 species